rfam:Botryotinia fuckeliana BcDW1 unplaced genomic scaffold Scaffold_136, whole genome shotgun sequence.
GGCCUGAUAGUUCAGUGGUAGAAUUCUUGCUUUGGGUUGCUGUAAUCUGAAUUGUAAGAGGUCUCCGGUUCGAUCCCGGAUUAGGCCC